rnacentral:misc_RNA from 1 species
AAUUCUCAACCAUUCAGCUUUUGUUAGCUUGUCUGGCUUGGAUGUGAGGGUUGCGGGCUGCGUAACAGCGGUCGGCUCUCUUUAAAUGCAUUAGCUGGGGACUAUUACUUGGUUCAAGUGCUUCGAUGUUUGAAGGCCUCCUGGUGUGAUAAUUAUCUACGCUGUUGGCUUAGUCUUUGCGCCUAUUGGAUCUUGGAAUGGAUACCUGCUUUCUAACUGUCUCGCAAGGGACUAGUCCGCUACAGGGCUAAUAAUGACUA